CUGACGGCGGUACUGAUGAGUUCUCCCGGCCCCCCGACUCAAUGUCUGGCGUUGGUGUACUGAGUGGGCGACUCCCUCACAUGCAGCCUCACUGUGGACCACUGCACUGACAUCAUCACAGCAAGGAUGACUCGCCCAGCUUCCUGCGUACAAGACUGUGAAUGUGGCCUGUUCUGGGUGUGCUGUUUGAGCAACUGGGACAACUGCUCAUCAACUCGUUUAAAGAGACUAUGGCAAACCUUCUGAAAGCAAUGAAGAGCGCAGAGUGUCUUCUGGCGCUCCAGAGAGAGGCUGUCUUCCUGUGCUCCUCAGAGCUGGAGAAUGUGGCCACUCUUUGUUUCCGGGCCUUCGAGGGCUCAAAUUAUGAUGUCUGAGUCGCCAUCUCAAAACUGCUUGGCACUUUAUUAGCAUUGGCACUGGAGCCCAGAAAAGCCAUAGCUCCGAGGCCAGGCUCUAAGCGCAGCUCCCUGGAGGAGGUGAUGGAGCUGCUGAGUUCUGGUUUCCUGCGGGCCAGUGGAGCCGGAUUCCUGCA